UACGUAGGGGGCAAGCGUUGUCCGGAAUUACUGGGCGUAAAGCGUGCGCAGGCGGUUCGUUAAGUUCGAUGUGAAAGCCCCGGGCUCAACCUGGGAACUGCAUUGGAAACUGGCGAGCUUGAAUGCGGCAGAGGGGGGUGGAAUUCCGCGUGUAGCAGUGAAAUGCGUAGAGAUGCGGAGGAACACCGAUGGCGAAGGCAGCCCCCUGGGCCGACAUUGACGCUCAGGCACGAAAGCGUGGGGAGCAAACAGG
rnacentral:rRNA from 1 species